rnacentral:lncRNA from 1 species
UUCUAUCUACCAUUUUAUAGUCCAAAAACUUUGCAGCCACGAAUUUUUUUAACCCGGCAUCUUUAGUUUUAUUCUUCCUUUCAAGCGCAGUCCACAAUUCUUUUACGUUUCCACGCCACUGUAGACGUUAUACAAAGCAUCCUCCAACCCGCUAAGAAUAUAAUUCUUGCACAAUAAAUCUGAAUGCUUCCACGCCUUAGUCACGAGCAAGCGUUCAUUAUCAGGAGUAUCAUCGGCCAGCACAUGAACAUCUUCCUUGAU